UCCGUAAAGUCGGAAUCAAUCCAGCGACCUUUGGAUAUCCGCUCAUACUUUCCUACAGUUCACAGCUCUGGCAACUGAGCUAUCAAUGG